rnacentral:rRNA from 1 species
CAGCAGCCGCGGUAAUUCGAAGGGGGCUAGCGUUGCUCGGAAUUACUGGGCGUAAAGGGAGCGUAGGCGGAUCGUUUAGUCAGGGGUGAAAUCCCGGGGCUCAACCUCGGAACUGCCUUUGAUACUGGCGAUCUUGAGUAUGGGAGAGGUGUGUGGAACUCCGAGUGUAGAGGUGAAAUUCGUAGAUAUUCGGAAGAACACCAGUGGCGAAGGCGACACACUGGCCCAUUACUGACGCUGAGGCUCGAAAGCGUGGGGAGCAAACAGGAUUAGAUACCCCCGUAGUCCCUGUCUCUUAUAC